rnacentral:rRNA from 2 species
UGAACGCUGGCGGCAGGCCUAACACAUGCAAGUCGAACGGUAACAGGAAGCAGCUUGCUGCUUCGCUGACGAGUGGCGGACGGGUGAGUAAUGUCUGGGAAACUGCCUGAUGGAGGGGGAUAACUACUGGAAACGGUAGCUAAUACCGCAUAACGUCGCAAGACCAAAGAGGGGGACCUUCGGGCCUCUUGCCAUCGGAUGUGCCCAGAUGGGAUUAGCUAGUAGGUGGGGUAACGGCUCACCUAGGCGACGAUCCCUAGCUGGUCUGAGAGGAUGACCAGCCACACUGGAACUGAGACACGGUCCAGACUCCUACGGGAGGCAGCAGUGGGGAAUAUUGCACAAUGGGCGCAAGCCUGAUGCAGCCAUGCCGCGUGUAUGAAGAAGGCCUUCGGGUUGUAAAGUACUUUCAGCGGGGAGGAAGGCGAUAAGGUUAAUAACCUUGUCGAUUGACGUUACCCGCAGAAGAAGCACCGGCUAACUCCGUGCCAGCAGCCGCGGUAAUACGGAGGGUGCAAGCGUUAAUCGGAAUUACUGGGCGUAAAGCGCACGCAGGCGGUCUGUCAAGUCGGAUGUGAAAUCCCCGGGCUCAACCUGGGAACUGCAUUCGAAACUGGCAGGCUAGAGUCUUGUAGAGGGGGGUAGAAUUCCAGGUGUAGCGGUGAAAUGCGUAGAGAUCUGGAGGAAUACCGGUGGCGAAGGCGGCCCCCUGGACAAAGACUGACG